UGUAUCCUAACAUUUACUCGGUCAGCUUCACAACCAACUGGCUGACAUAUUUACUAAAUCUCUCAAGAGAUCUUGUGUUGAUGACAUUUGUAACAAGCAUAUAUGGUACAUAUGCUCCAGCUUAAAGGGGGGUGUUAGACAUAUGAUUUGAAUAUGUUAGAAAUGUUAUUUGAUUACACUAAAUAGGGAGAUAUGAUAUGAUUUGAUAGGGACAUAUCGUACCAAAUAUUUCUCAUUAGAUAUUGAUUUUCUCCUUAUGAUUGCAUCUCUUCUUCAUUAUAAAUAAGAAAACUCAUGUGUACUCAACACACAAAAUUCAUUAUAUUCCUUCUCGGUUUCUAUCUUCUGAACAUGGUACCAUAAUUCCUUUCAACACUCUUUAGCAACAUCCUAGAAGCACAAGUCAAGUGGCAUAUUCAAAGUUUUACACGCACCCCUAAACAAAUCUAGAGUAAGUAAUUUUCUUCCGUCCAACUUGUAUUAUAAGUAAUUGUCAUAUUGAUCUUGCAUACCAAAUGUCAAUAAAAUUUUAUAUAAGAAUAUUUAUGCAAUCAAACAGUUAAUAAUACUUUCCUAUAAUUUGGUAUUUUUGUCGAAAACUAAUUUAAGACUUUGAGAUUGGGUUCAAAACAUGCUCUAAAUUUUUAUAAGCAUGGGACGAAAGAAACCUUGCUUCAAUUGUUUAUACUGUGAGAAAUUUGUCCGAAAGAAAAUUAUAUGUUGACGCAAAAUUGAUUCAUAUUAUGUGUGCAUGUGUACACAAGUAUGUGUAUAUAGGCAUAUAAACUGAAAACAGACUGAUAAGGAAACAGAACAUUCGUGCACAAACUAUGCAAAAUGUUGAAAAUACUGGUGGAAGAAAAAGAAACAGGAAGAGAAAGGGGAUGUUUAUUACAGAUACAAUCCAUAAUAGUGAGGUUCAUCAUGUCUAGAUUUGAAAUUAUACUGAAGAAGUUACAAAGCCAGAGAAGUAAAUUUUGUAAUAUCUACCUCUUUUGUUCUUUAAAACUUUCAUAGCUUCUUUAAAUAGCUAAUGUUAUGAUAUUGUUCAUUCAAUUCAAGCCAAGUGUCCACAAGACAAUGGCAGAGUGGCAGACUAAAUUCCAAAUCCAUUCCACAUAUCAAAACCAAUUGAUCAUUACCCAAAGU
rnacentral:lncRNA from 1 species